UUCACGGUAAAUACUUAUUUUUAUUUUGCAGUCGCGCGAGUUUGUGGAACUUAAAUAAGCCCUUAGAUUUUUUCCGGAUGAAAGGCUAACCGGAUUCCAAUGGUGGAAGGAAAGCUGAUACCCGAUAAUCGGAUACUAGAGCAGAAUCGAUACCGGCAAAGGAAUAAUUUACCUUCAGGCGGUUUACCAAAAGAGGAAAACAUCCGCCUUCAGAACUAAACGGAUAUUGAGAAUAUGGUUGCACUCCUCCUGGUUGCAAUUCAUACAAAUUUGAAAUUAAAUUUUAGUGUGCAAGACAAUCAACAUCAGGUCCACAAAUGGCGGCGAAACAGCCUAUUUGGAACCGGAUGGUUUACCUUCAGACUAUACAAACAUCAGCUAAAUAUACAAGGUUAGAUGAUACAAUAAAGUAAUAGUGGAAUGCAAAUAAAAUAAUUG